AGAUUGAACGCUGGCGGCAUGCUUUACACAUGCAAGUCGAACGGUAACAGGCCGCAAGGUGCUGACGAGUGGCGAACGGGUGAGUAAUGCAUCGGAACGUGCCCAGUCGUGGGGGAUAACGCAGCGAAAGCUGUGCUAAUACCGCAUACGAUCUAUGGAUGAAAGCGGGGGACCGAAAGGCCUCGCGCGAUUGGAGCGGCCGAUGUCAGAUUAGCUUAGUUGGUGGGGUAACGGCCCA
rnacentral:rRNA from 1 species